CCUACGGGAGGCAGCAGUGGGGAAUUUUGGUCAAUGGACGGAAGUCUGAACCAGCCAUGCCGCGUGCAGGAAGACGGCUCUCUGAGUUGUAAACUGCUUUUGUACAAGGAUAAACCUGAAUACGUGUAUUCAGCUGAAAGUACUUUACGAAUAAGGAUCGGCUAACUCCGUGCCAGCCGCCGCGGUAAUACGGAGGAUCCAAGCGUUAUCCUGAUUUAUUGGGUUUAAAGGGUGCGUAGGCGGAUUGAUAAGUUAGGUGUGAAAUGUCCGAGCUUAACUCGGGAACUGCCUCUAAUACUGUUGAUCAGGAGAGUAGAUGCGGUAGGCGGAAUGUAUGGGGAAGGGGUGAAAUGCU
rnacentral:rRNA from 1 species